rnacentral:rRNA from 1 species
GAUAAACGCUGGCGGUGUGCUUUAUGCAUGCAAGUCGAACGGGCAUUAGCAAUAAUGUCAGUGGCAAACGGGUGAGUAAUACGUAAGCAACCUGCCCUCAAGUGGGGAACAACUCCUAGAAAUGGGAGCUAAUACCGCAUGUGAUGAUGGGGCAUAAGUCCCAUCAUUAAAGCCGUAAGGCGCUUGAGGAGGGGCUUGCGCCCGAUUAGCUAGUUGGUGAGGUAACGGCCCACCAAGGCUACGAUCGGUAGCUGGUUUGAGAGGACGACCAGCCACACGGGGACUGAGACACGGCCCCGACUCCUACGGGAGGCAGCAGCAAGGAAUAUUGGGCAAUGGGCGAAAGCCUGACCCAGCGACACCGCGUGGGGGAAGAAGGCCCUCGGGUUGUAAACCCCUUUUAUUAGGGAAGAAUAAUGACGGUACCUGAUGAAUAAGCUUCGGCUAACUACGUGCCAGCAGCCGCGGUAACAC